UGACCAAUCAUUGAUCUUGGCUAAGUGGAAAUCCAUAGUCAACCAAAUUGUCAAUGUCCACACACAUGAUGACAACGAAUUGUUCCCCAGGUGUCCCUACAGUUGUUCAAUUCAAUGGAGGUGGUUUCAGAAAGGAUCAGAAAAAUAUGACAAGCUCUGUGUGUUGCUCCUCAACAAAAGCCUUCUCCACUCUAUUUCAAAGCUGAGCUCUGAUGGCCAGACAUCUGGUUUUAGAGGGUUGCCACAGUGCCCUGAUACACUUCGCCCAAGAUGUAUCAUUUUGGGUACAAUGCUAUGAAAAGCAGGCUAGAGAUGGCUGCAUUGGAUUUCAAUGAGAAUGCUUGGAGGAAGUAACACAAGAACAAGGAUUGCCAACUUCUUUUCUCUGUUCGUCACCCAAAAAAUCGGUAUGGAAUUACAUUGUGACGUCAAGAUCAGAGGCACAGACAUUUGGUUUUGUUGACAAGUAUGCGGAGGAAGUCAAGAGGCUGGUUUUGACUGGGGAGGACUACACAAUUGCCAGGAGAGUCGAUCCUACACCUCCUUGUUCACGCUUUGAAAGGCCACCCAAAGAAGAAACUGUCAAGAUGCAGCAAACUGCCCAUGCCAAACGCUUCAACAUAUUCAAGAACAAUUAACAGGAAAUUUCACGUGUUAUGUGGCCAAUCUUCUAUCCUCAUCGCAGCUACGGAGUCAUCAACAUAAAGUGGCAGCCAUAGACUGUGUGAUAGGGAGGGGUUGACAUAAUUUUGUGCUAUGGGCUUGUGUUUCCACUGUAUUUUAGCAAAAUUUUGGA